UACGGAGGGUGCAAACGUUGCUCGGAAUCAUUGGGCGUAAAGCGCUCGCAGGCGGUCCGAUGCGUCGUGCGUGAAAGCCCCCGGCUCAACUGGGGAGGGUCGUGCGAUACGGUCGGACUUGAGGCCAGUAGGGGGAUGCGGAAUUCCGGGUGUAGUGGUGGAAUGCGUAGAGAUCCGGAGGAACACCAGCGGCGAAGGCGACUACCUGGCCUGUUCUUGACGCUGAGGCGCGAAAGCUAGGGGAGCAAACGGGG
rnacentral:rRNA from 1 species